rnacentral:tRNA from 1 species
GCGGGAGUGGCGAAAUUGGUAUACGCGCUGGAUUUAGGUUUCAGUGCCGCAAGGCGUGAGAGUUCGAAUCUCUCCUUCCGCACCA